rnacentral:rRNA from 1 species
AUGGGCGCAAGCCUGAACCAGCCAUCCCGCGUGCAGGAAGACGGCCCUAUGGGUUGUAAACUGCUUUUCCAGGGGGAGAAACUUGCGCACGUGUUGCGCAAUUGACGGUACCCUGGGAAUAAGCAUCGGCUCACUCCGUGCCAGCAGCCGCGGUACUACGGAGGAUGCGAGCGUUAUCUGGAUUCAUUGUGUUUAAAGGGUGCGUAGGCGGACUAUUAAGUCAGUGGUGAAAUCCUGGAGCUUAACUG